rnacentral:rRNA from 1 species
GAUGAACGCUAGCGGCAGGCCUAAUACAUGCAAGACGAACGGUAAGUUGAGUAGCAAUACUUAGCCAAGAGUGUCGUACGGGUGCGUAACACGUAUGCAACCUACCCUAUACAGGAGGAUAGCCUAGGGAAACCUGGAUUAACCCUUCAUAGUAUUAUUGGAUGGCAUCAUUUGAUAAUUAAAACUGAGGUGGUAUAGGAUGGGCAUGCGUCUGAUUAGUUAGUUGGCGGGGUAAUGGCCCACCAAGACGAUGAUCAGUAGGGGUUCUGAGAGGAAGAUCCCCCACACUGGCACUGAGAUACGGGCCAGACUCCUACGGGAGGCAGGCAGGUAGGGAAUAUUGGUCAAUGGAUGCAAGUCUGAACCAGCCAUG